rnacentral:rRNA from 1 species
UACGUAGGGGGCUAGCGUUGUCCGGAAUCAUUGGGCGUAAAGAGCGUGUAGGCGGCCAGAAAAGUCCGCUGUGAAAACUCGAGGCUCAACUUCGAGCUGUCGGUGGAAACUUCUGGCUAGAGUCCGGAAGAGGAGAAUGGAAUUCCCGGUGUAGCGGUGAAAUGCGCAGAUAUCGGGAAGAACACCCGUGGCGAAGGCGGUUCUCUGGGACGGUACUGACGCUGGAGACGCGAAAGCGUGGGGAGCGAACAGG